rnacentral:rRNA from 1 species
GACAUAGGUGGCAAACGUUAUCCGGAAUUAUUGGGCGUAAAGAGCUCGUAGGCGGCUUGGCAAGUCGGGUGUGAAACCUCCAGGCUCAACCUGGAGACGCCACUCGAUACUGCCAUGGCUAGAGUCCGGUAGGGGACCACGGAAUUCCUGGUGUAGCGGUGAAAUGCGCAGAUAUCAGGAGGAACACCGGUGGCGAAGGCGGUGGUCUGGGCCGGCACUGACGCUGAGGAGCGAAAGCGUGGGUAGCAAACAGG